rnacentral:rRNA from 1 species
GAUGAACGCUGGCGGCGUGCCUAAUACAUGCAAGUCGAGCGAACGGACGAGAAGCUUGCUUCUCUGAUGUUAGCGGCGGACGGGUGAGUAACACGUGGAUAACCUACCUAUAAGACUGGGAUAACUUCGGGAAACCGUAGCUAAUACCGGAUAAUAUUUUGAACCGCAUGGUUCAAAAGUGAAAGACGGUCUUUCUGUCACUUAUAGAUGGAUCCGCGCUGCAUUAGCUAGUUGGUAAGGUAACGGCUUACCAAGGCAACGAUGCAUAGCCGACCUGAGAGGGUGAUCGGCCACACUGGAACUGAGACACGGUCCAGACUCCUACGGGAGGCAGCAGUAGGGAAUCUUCCGCAAUGGGCGAAAGCCUGACGGAGCAACGACGCGUGAGUGAUGAAGGUCUUCGGAUCGUAAAACUCUGUUAUUAGGGAAGAACAUAUGUGUAAGUAACUGUGCACAUCUUGACGGUACCUAAUCAGAAAGCCACGGCUAACUACGUG